GCCCUUAGGCGGUCGCCCACAGACUGUAAUUUUUUGACUCCUUCUGGAGUCUUGCUUCUAUUUCUUUAUUAGGCAUUUUAAUUCUUGAGUCGAAAAAAAUGCUUAUUAUUGCUUUUUAGUUCGCAAAGUAAAUAAUAGGAAAAAAUUCAGCUCAAGCAAAAUGCCUAAUAACGAGAUAGAGGCAAGACUCCAAACGAAUCCAAAAAAAAUUGCAGUCUGUUGGCGACCGCCUAAGGGU
rnacentral:miRNA from 1 species